UGAGUCAGAAAUUCAUCUGGAACGUCCCCCCGAAGUAGGAUUUCCCACUCGGAAAGUCGGACAAUCCUCACCAACCCAACUUGACGACAACGUCAUAAUCCAAGAUGGCAGCACAGUGCAUCAACUGUAAAGAGUAACAGUAAAAGCUCUCAUAAUAUUUUAUUUAUCAGCACUUCUGUUUUUGUGAAAUUAAAGAAGUGGUAUACACUCACCGGCCACUUUAUUAGGUACACCAUGCUAGUAACGGGUUGGACCCCCUUUUGCCUUCAGAACUGCCUCAAUUCUUCUUGGCAUAGAUUCAACAAGGUGCUGGAAGCAUUCCUCAGAGAGCUUGGUCCAUAUUGACAUGAUGGCAUCACACAGUUGCCGCAGAUUUGUCGGCUGCACAUCCAUGAUGCGAAUCUCCCGUUCCACCACAUCCCAAAGAUGCUCUAUUGGAUUGAGAUCUGGUGACUGUGGAGGCCAUUUUAGUACAGUGAUUUCAUUGUCAUGUUCAAGAAACCAGUCUGAGAUGAUUCCAGCUUUAUGACAUGGCGCAUUAUCCUGCUGAAAGUAGCCAUCAGAAGUUGGGUACAUUGUGGUCAUAAAGGGAUGGACAUGGUCAGCAACAAUACUCAGGUAGGCUGUGGCGUUGCAACGAUGCUCAAUUGGUACCAAGGGGCCCAAAGAGUGCCAAGAAAAUAUUCCCCACACCAUGACACCACCACCACCAGCCUGAACCGUUGAUACAAGGCAGGAUGGAUCCAUGCUUUCAUGUUGUUGACGCCAAAUUCUGACCCUACCAUCCGAAUGUCGCAGCAGAAAUCGAGACUCAUCAGACCAGGCAACGUUUUUCCAAUCUUCUAUUGUCCAAUUUCGAUGAGCUUGUGCAAAUUGUAGCCUCAGUUUCCUGUUCUUAGCUGAAAGGAGUGGCACCCGGCGUGGUCUUCUGCUGCUGUAGCCCAUCUGCCUCAAAGUUCGACGUACUGUGCGUUCAGAGAUGCUCUUCUGCCUACCUUGGUUGUAACGGGUGGUUAUUUGAGUCACUGUUGCCUUUCGAUCAGCUCGAACCAGUCUGGCCAUUCUCCUCUGACCUCUGGCAUCAACAAGGCAUUUCCGCCCACAGAACUGCCGCUCACUGGAUAUUUUUUCUUUUUCGGACCAUUCUCUGUAAACCCUAGAGAUGGUUGUGCGUGAAAAUCCCAGUAGAUCAGCAGUUUCUGAAAUAUUCAGACCAGCCCUUCUGGCACCAACAACCAUGCCACGUUCAAAGUCACUCAAAUCACCUUUCUUCCCCAUACUGAUGCUCGGUUUGACCUGCAGGAGAUUGUCUUGACCAUGUCUACAUGCCUAAAUGCACUAAGUUGCCGCCAUGUGAUUGGCUGAUUAGAAAUUAAGUGUUAACGAGCAGUUGGACAGGUAUACCUAAUAAAGUGGCCGGUGAGUGUAUGUUGUACUGCCCAACGUCAUGGACACGGUGCUAUGGUGUUUGUAAGAGUAAAAUACUGUGUUAUGCGUUGUUUACGACUGGUAUCGCAAACAACAACUAAAAACUGCUGACAACAGCUAACAACAACUGACAAUGGCAAAUGACAGCUGACAAUUGUAAACAACAGCUAACAUGGGUAACUGGAGGCAUCCAUCUUGGUUUUGCGACUUGUUAACUGGAACGCCAUUAACUUGGGUGUGACAUCAUUCCGAGCUCCAACAUCUGACUUCCGAGGUAACUGAAACGCAGCGUAAAUACUUGUUUUCUAUCACCCUCCAAAAAUCAUCAUGCUGUUAACCAACCCUGUUCAAUGUAUUAGAUUGAAUUCAUGGUAAAUAUGCGUCUAAGAAGAACUGAGUUCUGUUACUAAGCAGCGACCUAAAGUGAAGCCAGUGCCAAAGCGGAGAAAUAGCAGCUCUUCAAGGGUCCCCUUGACCUGCAAAGAGACAUGAUUUACACUCAUGAUUGAAAACUCAUGAAUGGCACAUAUUUACAAUCAGGGACAAAAAUGGUUUUGGUCUGAAAGGAUGAUUUCGACACGUCUAGCUGCCACUGAUGAGUGUCAGAAUACUGCUUUAUGAACCAGUUGGUGAUAUCUCUGAGAAGCAAAAUGAAUAAAGAAGGAGGUCCAUGGAGACAUCAAACCGAAUUAUUGAUUUGCAGCAACAAGACAAUUGCUUGUAUCAUUGUACAUGACACAAAAAACAACAAACAGUUAAAUGAGUUGUUUUUUGUCAUCAUGUGUGGGAUUUUUCAUAAAAUCAAAUCUGUAGCAGCCUUUACUAACAUCUCUUUCAACUGAAUUUUGAGUUUUUCUUUAGGGUUGUACCAAACAAAUCUGUGUAUUUGUGUUUUCUGCUGUCACGCUAGAUGUGCUGAUAGAUAGUUUUUGACCCCAGCUUCCUUUAUGAUGGACUUUUCUUUCUAGUUUGUGUGUUAAUGUUUUCUUUUCUGACAAUCUCUUUGCGACCCCAACAGCUUAGUGUACAAAUUGAGUGUCUGCAAAAAAGAUGUGUUUAUUUUUUCCUUCACUCUAUAUUUUGUAUGCGUUGUAGUGAAUUGUGGUGGAGUACAAUAGCUGUAAAAACUUUCGUAGUUGACAUGCACAAAUUGCCUCGUCAACCUGAAUAGUGGGUGCAAAAAUGAUAAGUUGCCUCCAAUGAAAAUGUCACUCUGUGGUUUCACCUGCAGGAAAUAGAGGUCACAGUUUCUAAAUGAGAAAUCGUGGUGUGUUUUUGUGUAACAUUUAAUAGAGAUGUGAAAAUGAGGAUGAUGACUGUGCAUGUGUUUGUGUGUUUGUUGGAAAUGUGAAGGCAUAGGGGAGCUGUUGUCAAGCCGUGAAUUCUAAAUAAUCCUGUUGAAUUAAUUUUCAUCUUGAACUAGAUUCUCAAAGUGCCUGCAGGUCUCUGAUUUACCAAAGCAAUGAUGCUUCCUUCAUUAGGAGACACUUUGAAUAUCCCGAACAUGUUGAAUAUUUCAUUUGAUGACUUCACAGCAUCGAUGAAUAUUCAUUCUUUGGCUUUGUGUGCCUCCACCGACAAGUGUUAAUGGGAAAAUCUUAAUCCUAAAACACAUGUUCACAUCAAUUACUGCUGCUGUAUUUUGCUGUUUGUGGUCCUUGCAGUUUUAGUUUUCUAUUUUACAGGCAAAUGGUGGAGGUCCUGCAUGACUGUAUGACCAGCAUUUGCAAGAAUACAACCUCUGGGCCGUUGUUGUCAGUCUCUGAAAACAAUAGCUAGCAUGCCUUGAAUAAUCAGACUCAAUUUGAGCUUUUUUGCUCCAAGAGCCUGACUACCAGAAAGGCACAGAUGUUAAAAAGGACAAGGUUACUUUUACACCUGAAUAUGCUCAUUAGUACCUAUAAAUUUAAAAAGAAGGGUCUAUUUUCCUGUUAUGCACUUCAUUGAUGACACAUAUGCUGGCGGAGGUUUUGCAGCUCCAGUUAUCCCCCUCCUCAUACAUCCUCUGAGGCUGGAGUUCAUUUCAGCCAAACUUUCACAACAUGCAUCAAAAUAAAGCCAAAAAAAUUGACAUUUUCGGGAGAUGAGUUCAUUUCCAACAUUCAAAAAAGCCCCAGAUGAAUGUUGUCUAUAUGAUCAGAGUUAAUUGCUUGACCUCGACCUGAACAGAAGUAGUGUAUCCAUCCCUCAUGAACUCACAGUGACAGCAACAAUAGUUUGUCUCGUAUCUGGCUGACAGAUCUCUUUGAAACCCUGCAAACUACAAGGCUGUCCACUUGUGAUCAAAUCUGUAUGAAUGUUGAUACCAGGUGUAAACAGCUUUGCAGACAAACUAGAUUCAAAAUAACUUACUCCAGAGAAAUAAUAGAGUUAAAUGAAGCAGACCAACGGUCAUCGUAAACAUAGCGUUUGAUUAUUUUUGAUGCGCUUGAAGAUCAAAAUCAAACUACAUGCAGGCCAGACAAUAUUGUUGUAGAUAAGGCAAGUUUUUAAAGGUCACCAAUGAAACUUUUAUGAUUAAAAAGUUGCUCAAAUACAAUUUCAGUGUGGGGUGAUCAGUCUCAAAACAAUAAAGUUUCAGAUCUCUUUCAGCUUUUUAAAAAUAUUCCCCGUCACUGACUCGCUGUGAAGUGUCUUGCAAGAGUUUCUCAUCUUCAGGAGACGAAGCAGAUAAAAAACAUCAUUUACAUACCGACUGCUGUACGUCUGUGUGAGAGCUGAGCAAACAUAAAACAGAGGUACUGCCUGCCUCUGUUUGAAAGCUUUUUCAGAGGAGAGGUGUCUGACUCCUGCAAAAAGUUGACGAUUCUAAAUUUGCAGUCUCGAAGGCUGUGUAGGGUCUGUGUGCGUAUGUGGAUGUUUUGAGAGUGUGAGAAGGAGGGAAAGUGAGUACUCCACUUGAAGCUGGAGAGCUGCAGGGCUGUGAUCAGAGGGAAGCCCCUUAAUGAGUUGAUCCGGGCAAGUCUUUGAUGCUGUUCCUCUCAGGGGAGUUUGAGAAAGAAAAGAAGCGAGGCGGGAUGGUGGGAUGACCUUUCAACUUACGCCGUUACACAAACUGAAGCCGCAGGGUAACAUGACAAAAAACAAAGACAUUAUUUCAUGAAAUGUGCAAUUUUGCUCCAACAUUAAUUUGUGUGGCUUUCUGAAAAUUCUUUCAACUAGUGUUGUGUCGUUCGUCAACAAUUUGUUAAAAAAAACCCAAAUCUUUUAAGUGAAUGUACCGAACCGAAUCACUUCCUCGAGUGAUUCGUUCGUCUCUCACUUCAGUUGAUCAUUUUUGUCGGACAAAACUACUUUUUUUUUCUUGCUAAAUUGCCACCACAACAACUUGCAUACAAUAGGACACAACAAGUAGUGCAUUAAUCCCGCAGCAUCCUAUCAUUGCAGCGGUUUGCGAGGGAACGGUGCAUGUUUAGUGUGAAUCCAGUUAACAAGUCGAAAAACCAAGAUGAACACCUACUUAGCCAUUGUUAGCCUUUGUUGACAUUUGUCAGCUGUUAUUAGUCGUUGUCAGCUGUUGUUCGUCAUUGUUAGCUAUACCAGUUGUAAACAACGUAUAACACAGUAUUUCACUCUUACAAACAGCAUAGCACCGUGUUCACAGUUAGACGUUGGGCAGUACAACAUAAACCACUUUUUUAAUUUCACAAAAACAAAACAGAAGUGCUGAUAAAUGACACAUUAUGAGAGCUUUCACUGUUACUCUUUACUGUUGAUGCUCUGCGCUGCCAUAUUGGAUUAUGACGUCGUCAAGUCAGGGUGGUUGAGGAUUGUCUGACUUUCUGAGUGAGCUAUCUGACUUCAAGGGGGUGUUCCAGAUGAAUUUCGGACUCAGAGCUUGGAAAUUCCAACUUCCGACAACUGGAAUGCAGCAUUAGAGCUCCUCCUACUGGCUGUGCAAGAUCAGCGCAUAAGCCCCGCCUCCUUCAUAUUAUCAAACAGACCACAGGACACUGAAAGACCAGUUAAAGUCUGAUGGAAGAGUUCAUAUGACAGAGAAAAUCAGCCCCCAAACACUUAAUCUGGGUGUGCUAGUCCCACUAAGAGAAGUUUGAUUCUGUGCGAUUUAAAUUUAACACAUCUACACAAUUUUUUUUUAAGUCCGGUUUCAGGCGUAUAAAUGCAAUAAAUGGAUUUUUUGAACAACAUGUAAAGGUACUCUCUGUCCCCAAUAAAGAAAUUAAUCCAGAUGAGGUCUUGCAGUAUGUGACCCCGCAGGGUCUCCAGUCUUUUGCAAAAUUAAAAACCAUUUGUCAGUUUGUCAAUCUUAAUUGAUGUCUUUGUCAGUCUAGACAGUGAGAGCGGUUGAACAUGCGCUGUGUGUGUCGCUUUUGCCCAGCUGGGAUCUAUGACUUCACAUCAGUUCAGUCAGUGCUGUUUUUGUCUGAGCACAUGAAAGAAGCAUGGUUGCUUCUGAUGUUUCCUAUUGUGUGCUGUCAAAGCUACAGGUCGGACCAAAGUGUGCGUCAGUGUCUCUACGCGACUCUCUGAUGCAGUCGCUGAUCCUGUUGGCGUUUCAUCAAUUCAUGAGAGACAAUUGGGCUUCCUGAUGUGUAAAAGGUGACAAACACAUCUCAGUCUGAGUGUGUUUGCAAUGAGCAGACUGUAAAGACUGAAAUUAUUCAGGCAGUCUGUCAGUGACAGAAAUCAGGACAAGAACAAGACAUCAAAAGCAAGCAACCAAAGCCACGGUGUAAUGUUUACAACAGACAGAACAAUAGAGACCUACAUUUGAUGACAGUGUUCAUGUUUUUAUCAGUGAAACACGUAAACUCACAGAUGUGCAGACAUUUUUGCUGUUUUCAUUUGGGAAAUCAUUCCCCUUCUUCAACCUCAGAUUUUUGAUUAUCCUGUUAUGUGUUGCUCUGAUUGGAUUGCAUGGGAGUGGUGUGUGUUUUUCCGAAAGUCCCACCUGAUUUUUCUCUGAAUUUUACCAAAAGGGCUGGCAAAAAAAUUCAAGAUGAAGUCAGACUGAGAUUUUAUCUGUUUUCCUUCACACAUGCUGCCCACCA